GACGAACGCUGGCGGCGUGCUUAACACAUGCAAGUCGAACGGAAAGUGCUCUUCGGAGUGACUCGAGUGGCGAACGGGUGAGUAACACGUGGGUGAUCUGCCCUGCACUUUGGGAUAAGCCUGGGAAACUGGGUCUAAUACCGAAUAGGACCACGCGCUUCAUGGUGUGUGGUGGAAAGCUUUUGCGGUGUGGGAUGGGCCCGCGGCCUAUCAGCUUGUUGGUGGGGUAAUGGCCUACCAAGGCGACGACGGGUAGCCGGCCUGAGAGGGUGACCGGCCACACUGGGACUGAGAUACGGCCCAGACUCCUACGGGAGGCAGCAGUGGGGAAUAUUGCACAGUGGGCGCAAGCCUGAUGCAGCGACGCCGCGUGAGGGAUGACGGCCUUCGGGUUGUAAACCUGUUUCAGUAGGGACGGAGCGCAAGUGACGGUACCUAUAGAAGAAGGACCGGCCAACUACGUGCCAGCCGCCGCGGUAA
rnacentral:rRNA from 1 species